rnacentral:rRNA from 1 species
UACGGAGGGUGCAAGCGUUAUCCGGAUUCACUGGGUUUAAAGGGUGCGUAGGCGGACAGGUAAGUCCGUGGUGAAAUCCUGCAGCUUAACUGCAGAACUGCCAUGGAUACUAUCUAUCUUGAAUAUCGUGGAGGUUAGCGGAAUAUGUCAUGUAGCGGUGAAAUGCUUAGAGAUGACAUAGAACACCCAUUGCGAAGGCAGCUAACUACGCGAUAAUUGACGCUGAUGCACGAAAGCGUGGGGAUCAAACAGG